rnacentral:sRNA from 1 species
ACUUCUCAUCCCUAUCCUUCCUUUCCCUUCCUCCCCAACCCCUGUUUAUUUCCUGCGCCUGGGGCUUGGCCAUGUUCCCCUCCCUGUGACUAGUAGAGCUGGGUCUUUCCAAGUGGCAUCAUUGUAGAGCUGCUAGCAAAUAUCAGACUAUCUGUGAGGAGAAGUUGGGAGCCAUAGAGAAUUUUUUGAGCCAGGUGGGAGGCCAGAGUAGGAGAACGGGCGUCACUGGGAGCUGGAUGUAGGGCGGAAGUUUUAGAGGACAAGGACCGUGGACCUUGUGGGGAGGGCAGGGCCUUUCUCCAAGAGCUUGCUAGUGGCUGGAGGCCCAUUUCUAAACUUGGGGAGGCGGCUCCAUGGAUCUCAGAGAGGCCUGUGCCAGGCGUGGGGGUAGGAGACCAAAUCCGGGCCAGGGAGUUCCUGGGCACCUGACGUGGCUGGAUUCCCCAGGUGCGCGUCUACAGCCCGUACCAAGACUACUACGAGGUGGUGCCCCCCAAUGCACAUGAGGCCACGUACGUCCGCAGCUACUACGGACCGCCCUACGCAGGCCCCGGCGUGACGCACGUGAUAGUGCGGGAAGAUCCCUGCUACAGCGCCGGCGCCCCUCUGGCCAUGGGCAUGCUUGCGGGAGCCGCCACUGGGGCGGCGCUCGGCUCGCUCAUGUGGUCGCCCUGCUGGUUCUGAGCCCUGGGACUCGGAGCACUGACCCCUGAGCUUGGAUUGCUAGACUCCUCUUCCUCCUAGACCCCAUCCUCUGCCAUCCAAGCCCUGUCCCACUUUGGCCUUAUCCUCUCCAUUAGCUCCUUCCGGGUUUGG